GACGAACGCUGGCGGCGUGCUUAACACAUGCAAGUCGAACGGUGAAGCACCUUCCUUUUGGUGGGUGUGGAUGAGUGGCGAACGGGUGAGUAACACGUGAGUAACCUGCCCCCUUCUUCUGGAUAACCGCAUGAAAGUGUGGCUAAUACGGGAUAUUCUGGGUCUGUCGCAUGGCGGGCCUGGGAAAGAUAUUGUUUCGGUGGGGGAUGGGCUCGCGGUCUAUCAGCUUGUUGGUGGGGUGAUGGCCUACCAAGGCGGUGACGGGUAGCCGGCCUGAGAGGGUGGACGGUCACACUGGGACUGAGACACGGCCCAGACUCCUACGGGAGGCAGCAGUGGGGAAUAUUGCACAAUGGGCGCAAGCCUGAUGCAGCGACGCCGCGUGAGGGAUGGAGGCCUUCGGGUUGUAAACCUCUUUCGCCAGUGAAGCAGGCCUGUCCCUUCUGUGGGUGGGUUGACGGUAGCUGGAUAAGAAGCGCCGGCUAACUACGUG
rnacentral:rRNA from 1 species